GUUUUCGAACCCGACGAUACUUCUGAGUGUUCUUAGCGAACUGUCAAAACUUUUAACAACGGAUCUCUUGGCUCCAGCAUCGAUGAAGAACGCAGCGAAACGCGAUAUGUAAUGUGAAUUGCAGAAUUCAGUGAAUCAUCGAAUCUUUGAACGCACAUGGCGCCUUCCAGUAUCCUGGGAGGCAUGCCUGUCCGAGCGUCGUUUCAACCCUCGAGCCCCUGUGGCCCGGCGUUGGGGAUCUGCCACGGCAGGCCCCUAAAACCAGUGGCGGACCCGAUGGGCCCUCUCCUUUACGUAGUAGCAUUCGCCUCGUAUUGGGAGUCCUCGGCGUCCUGCCUCUAAACCCCCCACAAGCCCGCUUCGGCGGCACCAAGGUUGACCUCGGAUCAGGUAGGAAUACCCGCUGAACUUAAGCAUAUCAA
rnacentral:rRNA from 1 species